rnacentral:lncRNA from 1 species
UCGUGCAAGCAAGUGUGAUGGAUUGGGCAAUUGCUGCCAGGAAAUUCGCAUAUGAUCCACAUCAUUCAAUGUAACAAGUACUGCUGAACGUGGAGUAACUGAAGCAGCGUGGUGCCAAAUGAACAGCUGGUCCUGGAAGACAUGAAGGCAGCAAGGGCGUUAAUUACCAUAUCCUCCAAUAGCUUGUUCAGCGGUGGAACCAUGGUGAGAUUGCUCAAGGA